GGAUGUAACUCAGUGGCAGAGCAUUUGCCUAGCAUGCAUAAGGUGCUGGGUUCAAUCCCCUAUACCA
rnacentral:tRNA from 1 species